AAUGGAUCUCUGCUGCACUUCUUGGUGAUACAGAAAGCUCAACACAAUCAUAAUCAGUGGCUUUGUACACAUUUUCGGAAGCAAUUCUCUUAAUUCAAUCAUCAAAAUUUGUUGAGUUUCUUUUUUCUUUUAUUUUGUAUUAUUACCAUUUUCUUUUUCUCUUUUGGCUUCAAAUAUUGGUGGCGUUGGGUGGUGGGUUUGUUUCUCUUUGUUGAUGAUCAUGAAUCAUGAUGAUACCAAAUGUAAUUGCAAACAGCAGGGUCCAAAAUUUGUAUGACCUUGUGAUUUAUUCUGUAUCUUACUGAUGUUUGCUUAAUUAUCUUUUCAUUUUUGUUCUUUUUUGAGUGAUCUCCAUAAUUAAUCAGGAACCAAAAUAUCGAGUUUGUUAAUCUUUUAAUUUAAUAGUAUUUUGUGUAAAUUGGGAUUUAUUUGUAAAACUUCAUACACCCUUGCCAUAAAUUGCUCAAACGUACAAUCUUUUCGAACUAAAAAUGUUGUAUUCUUUGCAUUCACGUACUUCGUACGGCCAUCUGCUAACGUCUCCCACCAACCGUCAUAAUAUAAUUGAAGUACAACGGAAUCCAUUAAACCUAAAAAUAAAAAAUGAUACGGAUCCAGAUACCCAAGUACAUCAUUUCAAUAGAAUUUUCUUCAAUUUAUUCUCGCCAUUUUGAACCAUGCAUACCUUUUGCAUCCACUUUAAAGUUGCUAAACACCUUUUAUCCAAUACUUGGCGAUUAAUAUGGGUAAGACUGCUGUACGGCCAAGGCGGAUGUACGGUACAGCAGAUCAGAAUGGAUCUCUGCUGCACUUCUUGGUGAUACAGAAAGCUCAACACAAUCAUAAUCAGUGGCUUUGUACACAUUUUCGGAAGCAAUUCUCUUAAUUCAAUCAUCAAAAUUUGUUGAGUUUCUUUUUUCUUUUAUUUUGUAUUAUUACCAUUUUCUUUUUCUCUUUUGGCUUCAAAUAUUGGUGGCGUUGGGUGGUGGGUUUGUUUCUCUUUGUUGAUGAUCAUGAAUCAUGAUGAUACCAAAUGUAAUUGCAAACAGCAGGGUCCAAAAUUUGUAUGACCUUGUGAUUUAUUCUGUAUCUUACUGAUGUUUGCUUAAUUAUCUUUUCAUUUUUGUUCUUUUUUGAGUGAUCUCCAUAAUUAAUCAGGAACCAAAAUAUCGAGUUUGUUAAUCUUUUAAUUUAAUAGUAUUUUG
rnacentral:lncRNA from 1 species